AACGCGAAGAACCUUACCCACCUUUGACAUGUUCGGAAUCCUUUAGAGAUAGAGGAGUGCUCGAAAGAGAGCCGAUACACAGGUGCUGCAUGGCUGUCGUCAGCUCGUGUCGUGAGAUGUUGGGUUAAGUCCCGCAACGAGCGCAACCCUUGUCAUUAGUUGCUACGAAAGGGCACUCUAAUGAGACUGCCGGUGACAAACCGGAGGAAGGUGGGGAUGACGUCAAGUCCUCAUGGCCCUUAUGGGUGGGGCUACACACGUCAUACAAUGGCUGGUACAAAGGGUUGCCAACCCGCGAGGGGGAGCUAAUCCCAUAAAGCCAGUCGUAGUCCGGAUCGCAGUCUGCAACUCGACUGCGUGAAGUCGGAAUCGCUAGUAAUCGUGAUCAG
rnacentral:rRNA from 1 species